rnacentral:pre_miRNA from 1 species
AAAAAAAGCAAACCUGGGUUUCCGUGUCCAACGUUUGACCGUCCGUCUUAUUUGAAAAUAAUAUAAAAAAAAUUAAAAAAAAGUCACGCAUAAAGUAUUAAUAAUGUUUUAUCAUCUAACAACAAUGAAAAUACUAAUUAUAAAGAAAUUUCAUAGAAGACGGACAUUCAAACAUUGGACACGGAAACCCAGAGUUUGUCUUUUU